rnacentral:lncRNA from 1 species
GCAAAGCUAAGGGGUUUUCUUUCUCACGUUCAUUUUACGCAGAGAGGCUAAAAUCAAUUUGGGGCUUGCUCCCAACUCUCUCAUUCGAGCUAGGGUUCAUCAAACACAGUGAGAGGAAGUAGAGCAGAACCAGACGUGAGCUCUAUGGAUCAAGAAAGGAAGCUGAAUAAAGGUGUCUCGACCCAACAGAAGCAAGCCCAAGAGAUUGAUCGGUCAGAAUGGAGGCAUGUGCGAAGCAGUUGACGGUUGGAGCGUUCUUGAUCCGAGUUCGUUGAAUUAAUGCCCCAGAAUAUUCCAAGUCUGUUAUUCGGUGCUUUCCC